rnacentral:rRNA from 1 species
UAGGGAAUCUUCCACAAUGGACGCAAGUCUGAUGGAGCAACGCCGCGUGAGUGAAGAAGGUCUUCGGAUCGUAAAGCUCUGUUGUUGGUGAAGAAGGAUAGAGGCAGUAACUGGUCUUUAUUUGACGGUAAUCAACCAGAAAGUCACGGCUAACUACGUGCCAGCAGCCGCGGUAAUACGUAGGUGGCAAGCGUUGUCCGGAUUUAUUGGGCGUAAAGCGAGCGCAGGCGGAAUGAUAAGUCUGAUGUGAAAGCCCACGGCUCAACCGUGGAACUGCAUCGGAAACUGUCAUUCUUGAGUGCAGAAGAGGAGAGUGGAACUCCAUGUGUAGCGGUGGAAUGCGUAGAUAUAUGGAAGAACACCAGUGGCGAAGGCGGCUCUCUGGUCUGCAACUGACGCUGAGGCUCGAAAGCAUGGGUAGCGAACAGGAUUAGAUACCCUGGUAGUCCAUGCCGUAAACGAUGAGCGCUAGGUGU